rfam:Dipodomys ordii contig_10763, whole genome shotgun sequence.
UGGCUCGGUGGUAGAGUGCUUGCCUUGCAUGCAUGAGGCCCUGGGUUCAAUUCCUUG